ensembl:misc_RNA 7SK 7SK RNA
GGAUAUGAGGGUGACCUGGCUGUAACAUCAGUCACCCCAUUGAUUGCCAGGGUUGAUUCAGCUGACCUGGCUGGCUAGGCAGAUGUCCCCUUCCCCCCUCACUGAUCCAUGUGCAUUACUGCCGAAGCUGUGAGCUCAGUCAAAGAGGACGACUUUCCCUCCAGAGGAGAGCACUGGUCUUUAGUCAAGGGUACAUGUUCCCCUUCUAGAAACUCCAAACAAGCUCUCAAAUUACUUUCCGAGUCUAAGUCUUGCCUCACUGGUCUGACUGAAAUUCCUGUGGACAUU